rnacentral:rRNA from 1 species
UACGUAGGGACCAAGCGUUGUCCGGAAUCAUUGGGCGUAAAGAGCGUGUAGGCGGCUUGUUAAGUCUUGCGUGAAAUCUCGGGGCUCAACCCCGAGCGGUCGUGAGAAACUGGCAGGCUAGAGUGCGGGAGAGGAGAGUGGAAUUCCUGGUGUAGCGGUGAAAUGCGCAGAUAUCAGGAAGAACACCCGUGGCGAAGGCGGCUUGCUGGAACGCAACUGACGCUGAGACGCGAAAGCGUGGGGAGCAAACAGG